UCUGGUUUGUGCAGUGUUCCACAUGAUUCUCUAUGGAUUUGAUGUGGGAGAACGCUUAACCCAGGGGCUGCCCUAUGUGUAUCCUCUUGGACCUAUAGUGGCUGAAUGUCCUUUUUGAGAUCCUGCAGCUGUUGACCCUGAGUGGGAGAAUGCCUUAUCCAGGUGUAGUCUUGUGCACACCUUUCCAGACCCAUAGCAGUGGUUUGGUUGCAGAGCUGUGAUUAUAUGGACAUUCUCCACACUUGGUAUACAGCAGUUCAGACAUGCAGCCCCAUUGGAAUGUG